GUAACAUUGCUAUGAAAUCAUUUGAACUGAAAUUUGUUGAUCUGCGGUUUAUUUUCAAGAGAUCAAAACGAAGAUAAGUGGUGGCACAAGUUUACUUUAGCGAAUUUAUCGCUAUGUUAUCGGGUCUAGCACUCUAUCCACUGAUUUCACGACCACGAGCCUCUAUAUUGCGCCGACUUCUUAAAUGGGCUUAUUCUGAUAUGUUUCCACAAAUUGUAUUGUUGUUAUAUUGUUAGCACAACUUUGCCAAGUUUACAUUUUCUAUAUCAAAUUUCUUUACACUGCUCAUCUAAUCAUGAUCUUGAG
rnacentral:lncRNA from 1 species